GUCAAGGAUGAGCUCGCGGCCUAUCAGCUUGUUGGUGAGGUAAUGGCUCACCAAGGCGACGACGGGUAGCCGGCCUGAGAGGGUGACCGGCCACACUGGGACUGAGACACGGCCCAGACUCCUACGGGAGGCAGCAGUGGGGAAUAUUGCACAAUGGGCGCAAGCCUGAUGCAGCAACGCCGCGUGAGGGACGACGGCCUUCGGGUUGUAAACCUCUUUUAGCAGGGAAGAAGCGCAAGUGACGGUACCUGCAGAAAAAGCACCGGCUAACUACGUGCCAGCAGCCGCGGUAAUACGUAGGGUGCAAGCGUUGUCCGGAAUUAUUGGGCGUAAAGAGCUCGUAGGCGGUUUGUCGCGUCUGCUGUGAAAUCCCGAGGCUCAACCUCGGGCCUGCAGUGGGUACGGGCAGACUAGAGUGCGGUAGGGGAGAUUGGAAUUCCUGGUGUAGCGGUGGAAUGCGCAGAUAUCAGGAGGAACACCGAUGGCGAAGGCAGAUC
rnacentral:rRNA from 1 species